rnacentral:rRNA from 1 species
GAUGAACGCUGGCGGCGUGCCUAAUACAUGCAAGUCGAGCGAACAGACGAGGAGCUUGCUCCUUCGACGUUAGCGGCGGACGGGUGAGUAACACGUAGGUAACCUACCUAUAAGACUGGGAUAACUUCGGGAAACCGGAGCUAAUACCGGAGAAUAUUUCGAACCGCAUGGUUCGAUAGUGAAAGAUGGCUUUGCUAUCACUUAUAGAUGGACCUGCGCCGUAUUAGCUAGUUGGUAAGGUAACGGCUUACCAAGGCAACGAUACGUAGCCGACCUGAGAGGGUGAUCGGCCACACUGGAACUGAGACACGGUCCAGACUCCUACGGGAGGCAGCAGUAGGGAAUCUUCCGCAAUGGGCGAAAGCCUGACGGAGCAACGCCGCGUGAGUGAUGAAGGUCUUCGGAUCGUAAAACUCUGUUAUUAGGGAAGAACAAACGUGUAAGUAACUGUGCACGUCUUGACGGUACCUAAUCAGAAAGCCACGGCUAACUACGUG